GGGGAGGGAGAGAGAGCGGCUAAGUAAGAGAGAGAAAAACGAGAGAGUUGGCCCACAACGCAAGCUUGAUUAGAAAAAAUGCUUACUAAGCUAUCCGUUUCACACAUGCACAGACUGAGGGUUCGAUAUUCAGCCGAUCGAUGAGGGAAAAGGCACAAAGGCAAAAUCGGACGGAGCUCCUUUUCAAAUUCACAUCUCCGAUGCCCCCUCUGCAGUCUGCGGUGGUGCGACGCACGGGGAGCAAGGGUUACCUCAAGGCUGUUCCGUGGACCAUGCAAACAAGUCUAGACCAGUGACCUGCUCAAUCGCUCCCUUUGAGGGCCAGGCAAGUUCGGUCAGGAAGAAGAAAGCGAGGCGUGCCCUCUUUUCAAUGAGGGAGCAAGGAGGCAGUUGGCGGUGUUUAAGCGAAGCUCAUCUCCACACAGAUGAGCUGAGAGGUCAAUGAGUUCCUGGGCUGCCACAGAGACUGCCAAGUACAACCAGACACACUCUAUUAGAUGCAUUAUAAAACUGUUGAAACUCUCUCGAUCUUUUCUCUUGCUCUGUUUCUCUCUCUCAGUGUUGCAUUGACCAACUCAAAAUGCUUUUGUCCAGGCUUUGUUCAAUAAAGAAAUAUAAAAGGUGAACAACUUU